CUUAUCGAUUUGCACGCGCAUCAAGAACAAAAAUUAAAGACUGCAAUAAAUAUUAAAGGAAAAUGGACCGACGGCCACCACCAACCAUCCUGACUGGCACUCUCUAGUCUCUGCCAUUCUCAAACCCGAACCCGAAUACAUUCCCGUUUCAACCCAAUCAUGCUACAAGACUUCAGUUUCUGCCCAUGUUUCGGAGACCGAAGCUUCGACGAUACCGAACCCGAUCGUGACCCGGUACUACUGAUUUCCGGAAUCGCAGGGUCCAUUCUCCAUUCAAAGAAGAAGAACGGGUCUGAGACUCGGGUUUGGGUCAGGCUUCUCUUGGCUGAUUUGGAGUUCAAGAAGAAAAUAUGGUCUGUUUAUAAUCCAAAAACAGGUUAUACUGAAGUAUUGGACAGUGACACUGAGAUUGUAGUCCCUGAUGAUGAUUCUGGGCUAUACGCAAUUGACAUUUUAGAUCCGUCAUGGUUUGUGAAACUUAUUCAUUUGUCAGGGGUUUAUCAUUUUCAUGACAUGAUUGAUAUGCUUGUUAAAUGUGGAUAUAAGAAGGGAACCACAUUGUUUGGAUAUGGUUAUGAUUUUCGGCAAAGCAACAGAAUUGAAAAAUCAAUGGAAGGUCUUAAAGCAAAGUUGGAAGCUGCCUAUAAAGCUUCCGGGGGUAGAAAAGUUAAUAUAAUUUCACAUUCCAUGGGUGGACUGCUGGUUUCUUGUUUCAUUUCACUUCACAAAGAUUUGUUUUCCGAGUUUGUGAAUAAGUGGAUCUGCAUUGCCUGUCCUUUCCAAGGUGCACCGGGAUGCAUCAAUGACUCUCUCUUAACUGGAUUGCAGUUUGUUGAUGGUUUCGAGAGUUACUUUUUUGUUUCUAGGUGGACAAUGCACCAACUGUUGGUUGAGUGCCCGUCGAUCUAUGAAAUGUUGCCGAAUCCAGAUUUUAAUUGGAAAACAGAACCACAAAUUCAAGUUUGGCGAAAGCAAUCAAAUGAUGUGGAAACUCCUGCCAAAUUGGAGUCCUUUGGUCCUGUUGAAUGUAUCACUCUAUUUGAAGAAGCGUUGAAGAAUAACGAGUUAAAUUAUAAUGGAAACACCAUAGCGCUACCAUUCAACCUCUCUAUCCUCAAAAGGGCUGCUGGUACUCGUCAGAUUCUCAAUAAUGUUCAAUUGCCAGAAGGGGUCUCCUUCUAUAACAUUUAUGGGGCAUCAUUUGACACACCUUUUGAUGUCUGCUAUGGUACAGAGACAUCCCCAGUAGAGGACCUGUCUGAAGUGUGCCAUUCAAUGCCCCAGUAUUCUUAUGUAGAUGGAGAUGGAACUGUUCCUUCUGAAUCAGCAAAGUCAAUUGCCAAAACAUUAUAGCAACUGAAGUUCUCUGUUGGAGUGUGACCAAAGAUGAAAUAGUGGGCAGUCCUGAAUAAAAGAGGGUUCAUGCAUCAUUUUGCAGAAUUUUAUGUUUGUAGAUGCAGUGAAGGGAGAGGUGCCAUAUAAAAACCAUAAUGUUCAAUAGCUUAAUGCCGCACUCAUUUUUACCAUGGGUUCACAUGAUGUCAAAAUAUUUAAUGCAGACGGUUUUGUGGCAGUGGAAAGAGUAGGAGUUACUGCUAAUCACCGUGGACUGCUGUGUGACAAAACAACAUUUCAACUUAUCCAGAAAUGGUUGGGAGUUGAGCAGAAUGUCAGUAAGCAUCCAAAGACAUCCCA